rnacentral:rRNA from 1 species
AUGAUUAUCCUUGCCUGGAACUGCCGAGGAUUGGGGUUGGACUCGGCAGUCGGCGAGCUUCGAGACCUGAUUAGGUCGUACAACCCAGAGGUGGUGUUUUUGUGAGAAACUAAAAAGAGAGCGGGAGCGAUGGACAUGCUCAAAUGGAGUUUGGGGUUCUCAAAGGGGGUGGCGGUGGACUGUAAAGGAAAGAGUGGUGGGUUGGCGCUAUGGUGGAGAGACCAUGUUGAUGUUUCAGUCAAGCCGUGGUGCCAAUACUACAUAGAUGCUACAAUGGUAUGUGACGGAGUCUCCUUUAGAUUCACUGGAAUCUACGGAGAACCAUGUGUGGAGAAAAGAAUGAGGACGCGGGAUGCACUUCGCUAUCUUCGUGCUCAAGAUAAUUUGUCGUGGCUGUGCGUAGGCAACUACAAUGAGGCACGAAGCCAUGAGGAGCAGCUAGGAGGUAACCCAAGGAACAGAAGGCAGAUGGAACAGUUUGAGGAAUGCUUGACCGACUGCGGUUUGGCAGACCUCGGAUUUUCGGGGUACCCGUUUACUGGGGAUAACAAGUGGGAAGGCCUGGAAAACAUACAGGUACGUUUGGACCGGGCAACGUGCAACGGAGACUUUGCUCAACUCUUUCCGGCCACAGAAGUGAUACAUGUCAUGACGGAAGAGUCGGACCACCAGGCGUUAGUAAUAAAGGUCAGACGACAGAGGCGAGAGGGGGCAGCGUCCAUUUAUGUACGAGGCGGCGUGGGUGUGGCAUGA